rnacentral:pre_miRNA from 1 species
CAAGUACUUCCUCCGUCCGGAAAUACUUGUCAUCAAAAUGGAUAAAAGGGGUGUAUCUAGACGUAUUUUAGUUCUAAAUACAUCUUUUUUUAUCCAUUUUAAUGACAAGUAUUUUCGGACGGAGGGAAUAGUUU